rnacentral:rRNA from 1 species
AUUGAACGCUGGCGGCAGGCCUAACACAUGCAAGUCGAACGAGUGGCGGACGGGUGAGUACUGUCCGGGACACUUCCUGAUGGAGGGGGAUACAUACUGGAAACGGUAGCUCAUACCGCAUACCAUCGGAUGUGCCCAGAUGGGAUUAGCUAGUAGGUGGGGUACAGGCUCACCUAGGCGACGAUCCCUAGCUGGUCUGCGAGGAUGACCAGCCACACUGGAACUGAGCCACGGUCCAGACUCCUACGGGAGGCAGCAGUGGGGAAUGUGGCGCAAUGGGCGCAAGCCUGAUGCAGCCAUGCCGCGUGUAUGAAGAAGGCCUUCGGGUUGUAAAGUACUUUCAGCGGGGAGGCGUUACCCGCAGAAGAAGCACCGGCUAACUCCGUGCCAGCAGCCGCGGUAAUAC